GUAGCACCUUAGAGACCAACUAAGUUUGUUAUUGGUAUGAGCUUUUGUGUGCAUGCGCAUGUAUCUGAAGAAGUGUGCAUGCACACGAAAGCUCAUACCAAUAACAAACUUAGUUGGUCUCUAAGGUGC